rnacentral:tmRNA from 1 species
GGGGGCGAAUUGGAUUCGACGGGGGUAUGGAAGCUUAAGUGGCGUGCCGAGGCCCCGAACCUCGUAAAAAUCGGGAAAAAACACAAACGCCGACUCAGAAUACGAGUACGCACUGGCUGCAUAAGACAGCCAGCACUCAUCUUAGCGCGCCUGCCCGCUAAGAUUGGGUGACGGUCAGGCAGGAUAGUCAUUCCGGAUCGCUUGCGUCUGGAAUGGCGAACAUUCAGCAAGCUAGCCUCAUGUUCCCCUGCCUGGGUGGGGAGCAUCAGGCGAAUGUCAAGACCCAGGCUACGCACGUAGAAGCUUAAGUGGAAUGCCUUCGGACGCGGGUUCGAUUCCCGCCGCCUCCACCA